AUUGAACGCUGGCGGCAGGCUUAACACAUGCAAGUCGAGCGGUAGCACAGGGGAGCUUGCUCCCUGGGUGACGAGCGGCGGACGGGUGAGUAAUGUCUGGGAAACUGCCUGAUGGAGGGGGAUAACUACUGGAAACGGUAGCUAAUACCGCAUAACGUCGCAAGACCAAAGAGGGGGACCUUCGGGCCUCUUGCCAUCAGAUGUGCCCAGAUGGGAUUAGCUAGUAGGUGGGGUAAUGGCUCACCUAGGCGACGAUCCCUAGCUGGUCUGAGAGGAUGACCAGCCACACUGGAACUGAGACACGGUCCAGACUCCUACGGGAGGCAGCAGUGGGGAAUAUCGCACAAUGGGCGCAAGCCUGAUGCAGCCAUGCCGCGUGUGUGAAGAAGGCCUUCGGGUUGUAAAGCACUUUCAGCGAGGAGGAAGGUGGUGAGCUUAAUACGUUCAUCAAUUGACGUUACUCGCAGAAGAAGCACCGGCUAACUCCGUG
rnacentral:rRNA from 1 species